AAGUCGUAACAAGGUUUCCGUAGGUGAACCUGCGGAAGGAUCAUUACCGAGUUAGGGUCUUCAUGGCCUGACCUCCAACCCUAUGUCUACUAUACCGUGUUGCUUUGGCGGGUGCGCCCUUUAGGGCCGCCGGGGGCUUCACUGCUCCUGGCCCGUGUCCGCCAGUAGCCUUCUUAAAUUCUUUUAUAACCUUGUUGUCUGAGUCCAAAUAUCAAAUCAUUUUAAAACUUUCAACAACGGAUCUCUUGGUUCUGGCAUCGAUGAAGAACGCAGCGAAAUGCGAUAAGUAAUGCGAAUUGCAGAAUUCAGUGAGUCAUCGAAUCUUUGAACGCACAUUGCGCCCUUUGGUAUUCCGAAGGGCAUGCCUGUUCGAGCGUCAUUAUCAACCAUCAAGCCUGGCUUGUCGUUGGACCCCUUUGUCGCCCGGCGACAGAUCCAAAAGAUAAUGACCGGCGUCGUGGUGACCCUACAUGCAACGAGCUUGUAAGAGCAUGCACGUGGUGGUUGUCCGGCUCGGUUGUCACCCUUUAUUUUCUCAAGGUUGACCUCGAAUCAGGUAGGAAUACCCGCUGAACUUAAGCAUAUCAAUAAGCGGAGGAAAAGAAACCAACAGGGAUUACCCUAGUAACGGCGAGUGAAGCGGUAACAGCUCAAUUUGAAAUCUGGCCUUCACGGGUCCGAGUUGUAAUUUGUAGAGGAUGUUUCGGCAAGGCUGUGGUUUAAGUUUCUUGGAACAGAACGUCAUAGAGGGUGAGAGUCCCGUCUAGAACUGAUGGCCGCGUCCAUGUGAAACUCCCUCGACGAGUCGAGUUGUUUGGGAAUGCAGCUCAAAAUGGGUGGUAAAUUUCAUCUAAAGCUAAAUAUUGGCCAGAGACCGAUAGCGCACAAGUAGAGUGAUCGAAAGAUGAAAAGCACUUUGAAAAGAGAGUUAAACAGUAUGUGAAAUUGUUGAAAGGGAAGCGCUUGCAACCAGACUUGUGUAUAACGGUUCCCCCGGUCCUCUGAUCGGGCUAUUCUGUUAUAUCCAGGCCAGCAUCGGUUUGGGUGGUCGGUUAAAGGUCCUGGGAAUGUAUCUACCUUCGGGUCGACUUAUAGCCCAGGGCGUAAUGCGGCCUAUCUGGACCGAGGAACGCGCUUUUGCUCGGAUGCUGGCGUAAUGGUUGUAAGCGGCCCGUCUUGAAACACGGACC
rnacentral:rRNA from 1 species